rnacentral:tRNA from 1 species
AGGGCUGUAGUUCAAUGGCAGAACAUCAUUCCGUACCUCAAUCCUUGCCCGACUCGGGCCGGAGCAGGAACGGUUAUCGGACCAUUACUCCGAAGAUGCGGGUUCGAAUCCCGCCGGCCCUG